GUAGGGAAUAUUGGACAAUGGGCGAAAGCCUGAUCCAGCCAUGCCGCGUGAUAGAUGAAGGCCCUCUGGGUUGUAAAUAUCUUUUAUCUGGGAAGAAACUCCUCUAUUCUUAGAGGCCUGACGGUACCAGAGGAAUAAGCACCGGCUAACUCCGUGCCAGCAGCCGCGGUAAUACGAAGGGUGCAAGCGUUAUCCGGAUUCACUGGGUUUAAAGGGUGCGUAGGCGGGUUGAUAAGUCAGUGGUGAAAGCUCCGGGCUUAACUUGGAAACUGCCAGUGAUACUGUCAAUCUUGAAUGUCGUAGAGGUAAGCGGAAUGUUGCAUGUAGCGGUGAAAUGCUUAGAUAUGUUACAGAACACCAAUUGCGAAGGCAGCUUACUAUGCGAUAAUUGACGCUGAGGCACGAAAGCGUGGGGAGCAAACAGGAUUAGAUACCCUGGUAGUCC
rnacentral:rRNA from 1 species